AAACUCAAAGGAAUUGACGGGGACCCCGCACAAGCGGUGGAGCAUGUGGUUUAAUUCGAAGCAACGCGAAGAACCUUACCAGGUCUUGACAUCCUUUGACCACUCUAGAGAUAGAGCUUUCCCUUCGGGGACAAAGUGACAGGUGGUGCAUGGUUGUCGUCAGCUCGUGUCGUGAGAUGUUGGGUUAAGUCCCGCAACGAGCGCAACCCUUAUUACUAGUUGCCAGCAUUUAGUUGGGCACUCUAGUGAGUCUGGCGGUGACAAACCGGAGGAAGGUGGGGAUGACGUCAAAUCAUCAUGCCCCUUAUGACCUGGGCUACACCCGUGCUACAAUGGAUGGUACAACGAGU
rnacentral:rRNA from 1 species